rnacentral:rRNA from 1 species
AGAGUUUGAUCAUGGCUCAGGAUGAACGCUAGCUACAGGCUUAACACAUGCAAGUCGAGGGGCAGCAUGUUGGUUGCUUGCAACCAACGAUGGCGACCGGCGCACGGGUGAGUAACGCGUAUCCAACCUACCCUUGUCCAUCGGAUAACCCGUCGAAAGGCGGCCUAACACGAUAUGCGGUUCACGGCAGGCAUCUAAGGUGAACGAAAUGUGAAGGAGAAGGAUGGGGAUGCGUCUGAUUAGCUUGUUGGCGGGGUAACGGCCCACCAAGGCUACGAUCAGUAGGGGUUCUGAGAGGAAGGUCCCCCANACUUGGAACUGAGACACGGUCCAAACUCCUACGGGAGCA